rnacentral:sRNA from 17 species
UUUAGUUACAGGCUUAAUAAGUGCUGUAUACCUAGGCCACUGAACUAAACGUUUAAGCGGCGUUUCCCGUCGCCAGUCCUAGGCGAAAGGCCACCGAGAGGUGGCUUUUUUCGUUUUUAU